CGUACUUAAGGACAAGUACAGGCCUUCAUGGAUGAGGGUCAGGAACCAUUGCUGGAGGCGAUGUCAUCAGGACGAUGAGCAGGACGUAAAGGAGCAUGGAAGGAGGCGGGCGGGGAUCAACUCCCGCCCCUUUUUU
rnacentral:sRNA from 1 species